CUCACUAUUAUUAUCUAAUCGGCUGUAUAGAAUCAUUCACUGCUGACUACAAUGAAUGGACAUACAUAUGUUUGCCUUGGAUAGGUUUCUUACAUAUGAAUGUAUUAACGAAUAAUAUAAAAUGGAAUAUUUUAUAGAUAUCACAAGUUCUAUCGCUAAUACUAAACUGAAUUGGUACCGAAAACGGAACGAGCAGCGAUUUUGAGUGUAUUUGUGUUUAUUUACCGACCGAUUCCAUCGACAAUCUUUACGUUCACUUUAACAAAUAACACGAUUUUUUGCGCUUUUCUGUUUGAAGAAAUGUUUUAUGAAUUUAUAAUCGGUUAUACCAAGGGUGUAUAUAGUACGAGAAACAUUUUCCGUAUAUUUCGUAGUCAUAACUCUAAAACUAUGGAUAAAUUAGACGUUACUGUCUGGAACAAUACCAAAAUCCAUUAAUUUGUUUGCUGAUGAAAUAACAACGGGUAAAUAUGUUUAUCGGUUUAUCGGUCAAGAAAAUUAAUUACGAAAAUUUCGGUGCUGUUAUUUAUAUACUUAUUUAUUCUGGACAGAUUACAGUUUUAGCAAGGCAUCACAGUAUAUUGUUGGUUUAUUAGCUAUCACUUACCUGUGACGAGGUACAGAAGCAAUACGAUGAUCCACAUCGCUGCGAGCGGAUCGUGCGACUGUGAUUUCGCAGCCCUAUCACGACUAAUUUGAUUCCGAGUAAAAUUUUAAACUGUUCUAUGACCGCACUGCUUUAUCUUAACUGAAUGC